UGGGGAAUCUUGCACAAUGGAGGCAACUCUGAUGCAGCGACGCCGCGUGAGCGAUGAAGCCCUUCGGGGUGUAAAGCUCUUUCGGCAGGGACGAUAAUGACGGUACCUGAAGAAGAAGCUGCGGCUAACUACGUGCCAGCAGCCGCGGUAAUACGUAGGCAGCGAGCGUUGUUCGGAAUUACUGGGCGUAAAGAGUGUGUAGGCGGUGCUCUAAGUUCGGUGUGAAAUCUCCCGGCUUAACUGGGAGGGUGCGCCGGAAACUGGAGUGCUUGAGCGUGGGAGAGGAAAGCGGAAUUCCUGGUGUAGCGGUGAAAUGCGUAGAUAUCAGGAGGAACACCUGGGGCGUAAGCGGCCGACUGGCCGAGCACUGACGCUGAGGCGCGACGGCGU
rnacentral:rRNA from 1 species